UGCCUAACACAUGCAAGUCGAACGAGAAAGAUCUCUUCGGAGGUCGAGUAAAGUGGCGCACGGGUGAGUAACACGUGAGUAAUUUGCCUGCAAAUUGGGGACAACCUGCCGAAAGGUGGGCUAAUACCGAAUAAUACUCCGGGGACACAAGUCUCCGUAGCCAAAGACGCCUUAAACGUCGUUUGCAGAUAAGCUCGCGUACCAUUAGCUAGUUGGCGGGGUAAUGGCCCACCAAGGCUACGAUGGUUAGCUGGUCUGAGAGGAUGAUCAGCCACACUGGAACUGAGACACGGUCCAGACUCCUACGGGAGGCAGCAGUGAGGAAUAUUGCGCAAUGGGCGAAAGCCUGACGCAGCAACGCCGCGUGAGCGAUGAGGGCCCUUGGGUUGUAAAGCUC
rnacentral:rRNA from 1 species